UCAUAUUAUCUGUUCAUUCAUCAAAUAUGUAUUGGGCUAGAUCCUGUGCCAGGGCUGGACAUACAAUGCUAAGAAAGUAAAAUUCCCCGCCCUCAUGGAGAAUAACAUUCUUCACAGAGUUUGUGGGGAACAGACUCCCUCCAGUACCUUGUGUUUCUCAAGUCUUAAACUCAUCCUCUGCUCUGGAUUUAAAAGCAAAAGUGGCAUCUCCGGGUCUCUCAUGUAAUAUUUGGAGGAACAUUACACUUCCCAUGUAUAUUUCAUGCCUCUUUCCCAAGAUUUUACUGCUGCUUCUAAGGCAGCUAACAGUAGGUAGGAAACUUUGACCUCUCUUUCACUUUGCCCCUUUAGGACCUCCAGUUUUAGACUUCAUCAAGCAAGCCUGGUUUCAUUUCUUCUUGCUUAGCCUGAUGAACCAGUGUGCUGUACACCACUGUUGGAAACACUGGUACAAAGUUCUGGUACAGAACUCUUUCUGAAUAUUAAUCUCCUGUAUUGCUAUGCCAGAAUCAGAUUCUCCAGAGAAAGAACUUCUAUAUGGAAAGAGGCAGAUUGCUGGAAGGAGUAAAUAAUUCACAGACAACUCAUAAGCCCUGAGCUCUGGUCUGUCUCUGCCAAUUAAAUGCUGUGGAACUUUUGGAAAUGAAGAUGAGAUAAAGGCUUUUCAUACCAACAAAAGUGGAAAGAAUUCAUCAUAAGAAGACUUGAGUGAGAAGAAAUGCUAAGAAAGCUCUUCAAGUAGAAGAAAAUGAUACCAGAUGGAAAUCUGGAUCUCCACAAAGGAACAAAAAGUAUUGAGAAUGGGAACUAUCCUAUGUGGUGCUGGGGAUGCCAGAGUUGGAAUUCAAGACCCAGGGAGAAGGGCUUCAGUCAGCACUCCAGUACCUCAGCUGGGAAUCCUGGAGGCUAUACCCUAUGUAUGGGGAAAAUGAGAGGUAGAUGGAAACUAAAAAACAAACAAACAAACCAGUCCCUGAUUAGUUGUGACUUUAUCUGCCUACCAGAAAAUAGGACUAGCCCUCUCUGGAAGAUGAUAGCAUUAUCCAGAACCUCAUACACAAAAUUUACCCAGGACACUCAUGAAGAGGAGGAAGAAAAGACAACAUAAACAGACAUACAGGUCACCUACUUAUUGGAGUUAACAGAUGGAUGUUCAAAUCUGUAUUAUUCUUAUAUUCAAGAGAAUGAAUGACAAAGAGUAGAAUUCCACUGGAGAACUAGUUAACCAAGGCUAGAUGGCUUCAUUGAAAGACUUUGUCAAGCAUGAAUAAAGCCACUAUAAAUAUUCUUGCACAAGUCUCUUUGUGAAUACAUUUUUAUUCCUUUAGGUAAACGCCUAGCGGAGGAAUUGCUGGGUCAUACAUAGGGUAGGAGUAUUAUAACCUUAUAAGAAACUGUCAAAUGGUUUCCAAAAUGGUUUCACCCAUUUAUAUUCCCACAGACUUUAUUCAUAAUAACCAAUCCUGAGGGAAAAUCUAUAAUGUUCGUCAAAAGAAGGAAAUCCUGGCUGUGCCUAUAAUCACAGCAUUCUGGGAGGCCAAGGCAGGAGGAUCACUUGAGCCC
rnacentral:lncRNA from 1 species